AUGAACGUUGGCGGCGUGGAUUAGGCAUGCAAGUCGAGCGCGAACCCGCAAGGGGGAGAGCGGCAAACGGGGUAGGAAGGAUUGGUGACGUACCCUCCGGACGGGGAUAGCCAGGGGAAACUCUGGGUAAUACCCGAUGAUCUCCUGAGUUUGAAUACUUAGGUGCAAAGGUGUGAUUCCACCGGGGGAGCGGCCAAUCUGACAUCAGCUAGUUGGUAAGGUAACGGCUUACCAAGGCUUUGACGUCUAGGGGGUGUGAGAGCAUGGCCCCCACCACUGGGACUGAGAUACUGCCCAGACACCUACGGGUGGCUGCAGUCGAGAAUCUUCGGCAAUGGGCGAAAGCCUGACCGAGCGACGCCGCGUGCGGGAUGAAGGCCUUCGGGUUGUAAACCGCUGUCAGAGGGGAUGAAGUUAUGGUGGGUUCUCCCUCCAUAUUGACAGAGCCUCAGAGGAAGCACGGGCUAAGUAUGU
rnacentral:rRNA from 1 species